UUAAACACAAACUCAACUAAUGAACAACAGGUGUAAAGUUAGUGACAAUGAAAAAGCCGGGACAUGGGAGGAAAAUAAAGGAACACACAGAGAUGUAGAAUCAAAUGGACAACAUGAGGUAAGUGGGUAAAUAAAACGUGAACAC